GUACUACUCCCUCCGCCCGGAAAUACAUGUCAUCGAAAUGGAUAAAAAGGGGGUGUAUCUAGAACUAAAAUAUAUCUAGAUACAUCCCCUUUUAUUCAUCUUGAUGACAAGUAUUUUCGGACGGAGGGAGUACUAG
rfam:Triticum urartu cultivar G1812 contig231168, whole genome shotgun sequence.